GGUUAAGCGACUAAGCGUACACGGUGGAUGCCCUGGCAGUCAGAGGCGAUGAAGGACGUGCUAAUCUGCGAAAAGCGUCGGUAAGGUGAUAUGAACCGUUACAGCCGGCGAUGUCCGAAUGGGGAAACCCAGUGCAAUUCGUUGCACUAUCGUUAACUGAAUACAUAGGUUAACGAGGCGAACCGGGGGAACUGAAACAUCUAAGUACCCCGAGGAAAA
rnacentral:rRNA from 1 species